rnacentral:rRNA from 1 species
AAAUUGAAGAGUUUGAUCAUGGCUCAGAUUGAACGCUGGCGGCAGGCCUAACACAUGCAAGUCGAACGGUAACAGGAAGCAGCUUGCUGCUUCGCUGACGAGUGGCGGACGGGUGAGUAAUGUCUGGGAAACUGCCUGAUGGAGGGGGAUAACUACUGGAAACGGUGGCUAAUACCGCAUAACGUCGCAAGACCAAAGAGGGGGACCUUCGGGCCUCUUGCCAUCAGAUGUGCCCAGAUGGGAUUAGCUUGUUGGUGAGGUAACGGCUCACCAAGGCGACGAUCCCUAGCUGGUCUGAGAGGAUGACCAGCCACACUGGAACUGAGACACGGCCCAGACUCCUACGGGAGGCAGCAGUGGGGAAUAUUGCACAAUGGGCGCAAGCCUGAUGCAGCCAUGCCGCGUGUAUGAAGAAGGCCUUCGGGUUGUAAAGUACUUUCAGCGGGGAGGAAGGUGUUGUGGUUAAUAACCGCAGCAAUUGACGUUACCCGCAGAAGAAGCACCGGCUAACUCCGUGCCAGCAGCCGCGGUAAUACGGAGGGUGCAAGCGUUAAUCGGAAUUACUGGGCGUAAAGCGCACGCAGGCGGUCUGUCAAGUCGGAUGUGAAAUCCCCGGGCUCAACCUGGGAACUGCAUUCGAAACUGGCAGGCUUGAGUCUUGUAGAGGGGGGUAGAAUUCCAGGUGUAGCGGUGAAAUGCGUAGAGAUCUGGAGGAAUACCGGUGGCGAAGGCGGCCCCCUGGACAAAGACUGACGCUCAGGUGCGAAAGCGUGGGGAGCAAACAGGAUUAGAUACCCUGGUAGUCCACGCCGUAAACGAUGUCUACUUGGAGGUUGUGCCCUUGAGGCGUGGCUUCCGGAGCUAACGCGUUAAGUAGACCGCCUGGGGAGUACGGCCGCAAGGUUAAAACUCAAAUGAAUUGACGGGGGCCCGCACAAGCGGUGGAGCAUGUGGUUUAAUUCGAUGCAACGCGAAGAACCUUACCUGGUCUUGACAUCCACAGAAGAAUCCAGAGAUGGAUUUGUGCCUUCGGGAACUGUGAGACAGGUGCUGCAUGGCUGUCGUCAGCUCGUGUUGUGAAAUGUUGGGUUAAGUCCCGCAACGAGCGCAACCCUUAUCCUUUGUUGCCAGCGGUUAGGCCGGGAACUCAAAGGAGACUGCCAGUGAUAAACUGGAGGAAGGUGGGGAUGACGUCAAGUCAUCAUGGCCCUUACGACCAGGGCUACACACGUGCUACAAUGGCGCAUACAAAGAGAAGCGACCUCGCGAGAGCAAGCGGACCUCAUAAAGUGCGUCGUAGUCCGGAUUGGAGUCUGCAACUCGACUCCAUGAAGUCGGAAUCGCUAGUAAUCGUGGAUCAGAAUGCCACGGUGAAUACGUUCCCGGGCCUUGUACACACCGCCCGUCACACCAUGGGAGUGGGUUGCAAAAGAAGUAGGUAGCUUAACCUUCGGGAGGGCGCUUACCACUUUGUGAUUCAUGACUGGGGUGAAGUCGUAACAAGGUAACCGUAGGGGAACCUGCGGUUGGAUCACCUCCUUACCUUAAAGAAGC